GACGACGCUGGCGGCGUGCCUAAUACAUGCAAGUAGAACGAGUUGCGAACGGGUGAGUAAUGUCUGGGUAACUGCCUGAUGGAGGGGGAUAACUACUGGAAACGGUAGCUAAUACCGCAUACCAUCAGAUGUGCCCAGAGGGGAUUAGCGAGUAGGUGGGGUACCGGCUCACCUAGGCGACGAUCCCUAGCUGGUCGGAGAGGGUGACCAGCCACAUGGGAACUGAGACACGGUCCAGACUCCUACGGGAGGCAGCAGUGGGGAAUAUUGCACAAUGGGCGCAAGCCUGAUGAAGCCAUGCCGCGUGUAUGAAGAAGGCCUUCGGGUUGUAAAGUACUUUCAGCGGGGAGGCGUUACCCGCAGAAGAAGCACCGGCUAACUCCGUGCCAGCAGCCGCGGUAAUUC
rnacentral:rRNA from 1 species